rnacentral:rRNA from 1 species
UGGGGAAUAUUGCACAAUGGGCGAAAGCCUGAUGCAGCAACGCCGCGUGAGGGACGACGGCCUUCGGGUUGUAAACCUCUUUUAGCAAGGAAGAAGCGAAAGUGACGGUACUUGCAGAAAAAGCGCCGGCUAACUACGUGCCAGCAGCCGCGGUAAUACGUAGGGCGCAAGCGUUAUCCGGAAUUAUUGGGCGUAAAGAGCUCGUAGGCGGUUUGUCGCGUCUGCUGUGAAAACCCGAGGCUCAACCUCGGGCCUGCAGUGGGUACGGGCAGACUAGAGUGCGGUAGGGGAGAUUGGAACUCCUGGUGUAGCGGUGGAAUGCGCAGAUAUCAGGAAGAACACCGAUGGCGAAGGCAGAUCUCUGGGCCGUAACUGACGCUGAGGAGCGAAACGGGUAGGGAGCAAACAGGCUUAGAUACCCUGGUAGUCCACCCCGUAAACGUUGGGAACUAGUUGUGGGGUCCAUUCCACGGAUUCCGUGACGCAGCUAACGCAUU